rnacentral:rRNA from 1 species
UACAGAGGUCCCAAGCGUUGUUCGGAUUCAUUGGGCGUAAAGGGUGCGUAGGCGGCGCGGUAAGUCGGGUGUGAAAGUCCAGGGCUCAACCCUGGGAUGCCGGUGGAUACUGUCGGGCUCGAGUCCGGAAGAGGAGUGUGGAAUUCCUGGUGUAGCGGUGAAAUGCGCAGAUAUCAGGAGGAACACCGGUGGCGAAGGCGGAUCUCUGGGCCAUUACUGACGCUGAGGAGCGAAAGCGUGGGGAGCGAACAGG